UACGGGGGGGGCAAGCGUUGUUCGGAAUCACUGGGCGUAAAGCGCACGUAGGCGGAUUCGUAAGUCAGGGGUGAAAUCCCGGGGCUCAACCUCGGAACUGCCUUUGGUACUGCGGGUCUUGAGUCCGAUAGAGGUGGGUGGAAUUCCUAGUGUAGAGGUGAAAUUCGUAGAUAUUAGGAAGAACACCGGUGGCGAAGGCGGCCCACUGGAUCGGUACUGACGCUGAGGUGCGAAAGCGUGGGGAGCAAACAGG
rnacentral:rRNA from 1 species